rnacentral:rRNA from 1 species
AUUGAACGCUGGCGGCAUGCCUUACACAUGCAAGUCGAACGGCAGCACGGGGCAACCUGGUGGCGAGUGGCGAACGGGUGAGUAAUGCAUCGGAACGUACCUUUCAGUGGGGGAUAACGUAGCGAAAGUUACGCUAAUACCGCAUAUUCUGUGUGCAGGAAAGCAGGGGAUCGCAAGACCUUGCGCUGAUUGAGCGGCCGAUGUCAGAUUAGCUAGUUGGUGAGGUAAAGGCUCACCAAGGCGACGAUCUGUAGCGGGUCUGGGAGGAUGAUCCGCCACACUGGAACGGAGACACGGUCCAGACUCCUACGGGAGGCAGCAGUGGGGAAUUUUGGACAAUGGGGGCAACCCUGAUCCAGCCAUGCCGCGUGAGUGAAGAAGGCCUUCGGGUUGUAAAGCUCUUUCGGCCGGGAAGAAAUCGCACGGGCUAAUACCCUGUGUGGAUGACGGUACCGGAAUAAGAAGCACCGUCUAACUACGUGCCAGCCGCCGCCGUAACAC